rnacentral:rRNA from 1 species
CGUCUAAGCAGUAAGGCUGGGUAUUAGGCAAAUCCGGUACUCGUUAAGGCUGAGCUGUGAUGGGGAGAAGACAUUGUGUCUUCGAGUCGUUGAUUUCACACUGCCGAGAAAAGCCUCUAGAUAGAAAAUAGGUGCCCGUACCGCAAACCGACACAGGUAGUCAAGAUGAGAAUUCUAAGGUGAGCGAGCGAACUCUCGUUAAGGAACUCGGCAAAAUGACCCCGUAACUUCGGGAGAAGGGGUGCUCUUUAGGGUUAACGCCCAGAAGAGCCGCAGUGAAUAGGCCCAAGCGACUGUUUAUCAAAAACACAGGUCUCUGCUAAACCGUAAGGUGAUGUAUAGGGGCUGACGCCUGCCCGGUGCUGGAAGGUUAAGAGGAGUGGUUAGCUUCUGCGAAGCUACGAAUCGAAGCCCCAGUAAACGGCGGCCGUAACUAUAACGGUCCUAAGGUAGCGAAAUUCCUUGUCGGGUAAGUUCCGACCCGCACGAAAGGCGUAACGAUUUGGGCACUGUCUCAACGAGAGACUCGGUGAAAUCAUAGUACCUGUGAAGAUGCAGGUUACCCGCGACAGGACGGAAAGACCCCGUGGAGCUUUACUGUAGCCUGAUAUUGAAAUUCGGCACAGCUUGUACAGGAUAGGUAGGAGCCUUUGAAACGUGAGCGCUAGCUUACGUGGAGGCGCUGGUGGGAUACUACCCUAGCUGUGUUGGCUUUCUAACCCGCACCACUUAUCGUGGUGGGAGACAGUGUCAGGCGGGCAGUUUGACUGGGGCGGUCGCCUCCUAAAAGGUAACGGAGGCGCUCAAAGGUUCCCUCAGAAUGGUUGGAAAUCAUUCAUAGAGUGUAAAGGCAUAAGGGAGCUUGACUGCGAGACCUACAAGUCGAGCAGGGUCGAAAGACGGACUUAGUGAUCCGGUGGUUCCGCAUGGAAGGGCCAUCGCUCAACGGAUAAAAGCUACCCCGGGGAUAACAGGCUUAUCUCCCCCAAGAGUUCACAUCGACGGGGAGGUUUGGCACCUCGAUGUCGGCUCAUCGCAUCCUGGGGCUGUAGUCGGUCCCAAGGGUUGGGCUGUUCGCCCAUUAAAGCGGUACGCGAGCUGGGUUCAGAACGUCGUGAGACAGUUCGGUCCCUAUCCGUCGUGGGCGUAGGAAAUUUGAGAGGAGCUGUCCUUAGUACGAGAGGACCGGGAUGGACAUACCUCUGGUGUACCAGUUGUCGUGCCAACGGCAUAGCUGGGUAGCUAUGUGUGGACGGGAUAAGUGCUGAAAGCAUCUAAGCAUGAAGCCCCCCUCAAGAUGAGAUUUCCCAACUUCGGUUAUAAGAUCCCUCAAAGAUGAUGAGGUUAAUAGGUUCGAGGUGGAAGCAUGGUGACAUGUGGAGCUGACGAAUACUAAUCGAUCGAAGACUUAAUCAA